CCUCCCUUGAGACAAAUUUGUGCGAGUUGCCUCCCUCUCUCCCUCCCCCCUCUCUCUCUGACAUCAAGCGCGAGCGCCCCAAAUCACAUGGUCCGUCGGCGGCUCGCCGCGAUUGCGGCUACCUAGCGACACGGCGCUGCAUCUCUGGGGAUAUCAAUGCCGCGGUUGAUCAGGAGCCAGCCAUCGUCUUUUUAUUGCUAAAGGAUCCACGGUAACCAUGGAGUCAAUGGCAAGUGCUGCUCUAAGUAUUGGGUCAACUACGGCAAUGGGAGUUGAAGAUGAUGCCAGCAGCUCUGCCGUGGGCAUGAUCCAGUUGGUGGGAAAUGAUGAAAAUACCUACAACAUGCCAAAAAGAACUACCAGUCUUCCGUUUUGUG